rnacentral:tRNA from 1 species
GUAGACAUAGUUUAACAAAAACCUUAGAUUGUGAUUCUAAAAACAGAGGUUAAAAUCCUCUUGUCCACC